AUUCAAGAAUAGAGCCCCUGAUCUCAUUAAAGUGGAUAUGGCAUAGGACGAAAUAAGUGUGACCAAUUGAAGGUUGUAGUCUCUGUACACAAUAUGGCGGUAUAUACGAAUACGAACACAGUUUACUGUGACGAUGAUACGAAAUUCCACGUGUAAUUAAUUAUCUAUAGACGUAGAUGUGUAGCAGUUUUAUCCAAAAUAGUACUUUUUUAUAAUAAAAAUAGUAAAAUAGUAAAAUAGUAAGAUUCCAAAAUUAAAAAAUGUGUUUAUUGUGGAAAAGGAAGUGAAAAUAAACAACAAACGUUCAUAGCUGCAAGUAUGGAUUACUACAACACAAUUAAGGACACGAGGACAAAAUAAGCUAUAACAAUACCCUUUAAACUUAUUUAUAAGUUUAGUAGUAGUAGUAUUAUUUAUUAGUAAAAU